rnacentral:lncRNA from 1 species
AUUUUUAAAGCAUUUACUACACCUCAAGAGAUCUACCCCAAGCAUGAUUGUGUACGGUGAAACUGGACGUUACCCAUUGGAAAUAAGCAUUAAAUGCCGAAUGAUAACAUAUUGGUGCAGGCUGCUUAUAGAUGAAAACAAGUUAUCAUCAAUAUUAUACAAAUUUGUAUAUUCCCGAUAUCACACAAACAAUGAUGAUAUUUUAUGGAUAAAGAACAUUAAAAAUAUAUUGGACAAUGCCGGAUUUUCAAACUUAUUUUAUGUGCAAAAUACAGACCUCACCAAAUGGUUACCAAAAAGUAUCAAACUUAGAUUAAUUGACCAGUUUAAACAAAUUUGGAACUCAGCUAUUCAGAACACAUCAAAAUGCAUUACAUAUAGGCUCUUUAAGGAACAUUUUGAAUUUGAGAAUUAUUUCAACAUCAUAAAUGACCGAGAUAUAUAUACACUUUGUAAAUUCCGAACAUCGAAUCAUUCACUGCCAAUAGAAAAGGGGAGAUGGUAUAACAUUGAAAGAAGUGAUAGAAAAUGUUCAAUAUGUACAAAAAGAGAUAUCGGAGACGAAUACCACUAUAUUUUUGUUUGCCCGGCUUUACAAGAUGAAAGAAGAAGAUUUAUUCCAAAUGGACUAAUACCAAGACAUAACAUUUUUACAUUCAACAAACUGUUUAAUUAAAAAAAACCAAAGACACUAAGAAACCUCUGCAAUUUUAUAAGAUGUAUUAAUAGUAAGCUCACUCCUUCUUAACAACC